rnacentral:rRNA from 1 species
GCUCAGGAUGAACGCUAGCUACAGGCUUAACACAUGCAAGUCGAGGGGCAGCAUUUUAGUUUGCUUGCAAACUGAAGAUGGCGACCGGCGCACGGGUGAGUAACACGUAUCCAACCUGCCGAUAACUCCGGAAUAGCCUUUCGAAAGAAAGAUUAAUACCGGAUAGCAUACGAAUAUCGCAUGAUAUUUUUAUUAAAGAAUUUCGGUUAUCGAUGGGGAUGCGUUCCAUUAGUUUGUUGGCGGGGUAACGGCCCACCAAGACAACGAUGGAUAGGGGUUCUGAGAGGAAGGUCCCCCACAUUGGAACUGAGACACGGUCCAAACUCCUACGGGAGGCAGCAGUGAGGAAUAUUGGUCAAUGGGCGAGAGCCUGAACCAGCCAAGUAGCGUGAAGGAUGAAGGCUCUAUGGGUCGUAAACUUCUUUUAUAUGGGAAUAAAGUUUUCCACGUGUGGAAUUUUGUAUGUACCAUAUGAAUAAGGAUCGGCUAACUCCGUGCCAGCAGCCGCGGUAAUACGGAGGAUCCGAGCGUUAUCCGGAUUUAUUGGGUUUAAAGGGAGCGUAGGUGGAUUGUUAAGUCAGUUGUGAAAGUUUGCGGCUCAACCGUAAAAUUGCAGUUGAAACUGGCAGUCUUGAGUACAGUAGAGGUGGGCGGAAUUCGUGGUGUAGCGGUGAAAUGCUUAGAUAUCACGAAGAACUCCGAUUGCGAAGGCAGCUCACUAGACUGUCACUGACACUGAUGCUCGAAAGUGUGGGUAUCAAACAGGAUUAGAUACCCUGGUAGUCCACACAGUAAACGAUGAAUACUCGCUGUUUGCGAUAUACAGUAAGCGGCCAAGCGAAAGCAUUAAGUAUUCCACCUGGGGAGUACGCCGGCAACGGUGAAACUCAAAGGAAUUGACGGGGGCCCGCACAAGCGGAGGAACAUGUGGUUUAAUUCGAUGAUACGCGAGGAACCUUACCCGGGCUUAAAUUGCAACAGAAUAUAUUGGAAACAGUAUAGCCGUAAGGCUGUUGUGAAGGUGCUGCAUGGUUGUCGUCAGCUCGUGCCGUGAGGUGUCGGCUUAAGUGCCAUAACGAGCGCAACCCUUAUCUUUAGUUACUAACAGGUGAUGCUGAGGACUCUAGAGAGACUGCCGUCGUAAGAUGUGAGGAAGGUGGGGAUGACGUCAAAUCAGCACGGCCCUUACGUCCGGGGCUACACACGUGUUACAAUGGGGGGUACAGAAGGCGGCUACCUGGUGACAGGAUGCUAAUCCCAAAAACCUCUCUCAGUUCGGAUCGAAGUCUGCAACCCGACUUCGUGAAGCUGGAUUCGCUAGUAAUCGCGCAUCAGCCAUGGCGCGGUGAAUACGUUCCCGGGCCUUGUACACACCGCCCGUCAAGCCAUGAAAGCCGGGGGUACCUGAAGUACGUAACCGCAAGGAGCGUCCUAGGGUAAAACUGG